rnacentral:rRNA from 1 species
AUCAAUAAGCGGAGGAAAAGAAAAUAACAAUGAUUUCCCUAGUAACGGCGAGUGAAGAGGAAAGAGCUCAAAGUUGGAACCUGUUUGGCUUAGCUAAACCGGAUUGUAAACUGUAGAAGUGUUUUCCAGACACGCCUGGUAAAAAAGUCCUUUGGAACAGGGCAUCAUAGAGGGUGAGAAUCCCGUCAUUGGCCAGAGCUGUUGUCUUUUGUGAUACAUUUUCAAAGAGUCAGGUUGUUUGGGAAUGCAGCCUAAAUUGGGUGGUAAAUCUCACCUAAAGCUAAAUAUUUGCGAGAGACCGAUAGCGAACAAGUACCGUGAGGGAAAGAUGAAAAGAACUUUGAAAAGAGAGUUAAACAGUAUGUGAAAUUGUUAAAAGGGAACCGUUUGGAGCCAGACUGGCUUGAUCGUAAUCACUCUAGGCUUUGGCCUGGAUGCACUUGCGGUCUAUGCCGGCCAACGACAGUUUUGUUUGAGGGAAAAAAUUACAUUGAAUGUGGCCCUUCGGGGUGUUAUAGCUUUGUAAAAAAUACCUUGGACGGGACUGAGGAACGCAGCGAAUGCCUUUAGGCGAGAUUGCUGGGUGCUUGCGCUGAUACAUGCUAGAAUUUCUGCUUCGGGUGGUGCUAGUGUGUAAAGGAGUAACCCGCUUAGUAUAUUUUUUAUUCGCUUAGGUUGUUGGCUUAAUGACUCUAAAUGAC